rnacentral:tRNA from 1 species
GCCUAGUUAGCUCAGUUGGUAGUGCGUAGUGCGUCUGCCUCGUAAGCGCUAGGCCGCGGGUUCGAUUCCCGCCCGGGGCG